UUGUUGACCAAAAGUUGCAUGCCAACUUAUUUUUCCCAAUGCCACAAAUUGAACAAGAGAGAGAAGCUCUCAUCUUCUCCAACUAGAGAAAGAGAGCCACGGCCAUCGAAGCUCCACCACCAAAAAAAAAAAAAAAAUAGUUUUCUUCCUCAAAUCAACUCCUCAUCUAGUGUACAAGAACGUGUAGUAGUUGUUGGAAAGAAACAAGGAGGUGUAGCACCUCAAUAGGGUUGAAGAUUCGGCCAAAGUGAAGAACAAGUUGUAAGGAUAAGUGUAUUUGGGCAGCAAGUACAAGUUAGAAUACAACUAAACGCUAAAGGUACAGACGUUCAUUUCGGAGAUCCGCCAGCUUAGGACACUUAUUCAGCUAUUUUGACUGCUCCUUUGUUCCGGAGCCUAGCUU